rnacentral:lncRNA from 1 species
AGAGUAUUCACACGAGAGGUUAUACCAGUAUAACUAUAUCUCUGUAACUUGGUAACAUUUCCCCAUAUAUACAAGACCUUAUUCCAAUGUCCAGAACAUAUCCUAUGGAUAAGAAAGAACUGUUAAAUAUUAGAGGCCAACUGAGGUGAUUAAGAAAAGGUCACGCCAAAAAUGGUUUUUUAUCACUUUAGAGUUAACAUUCUAGAUUGUCUCUGGAACAGAAAUCACAGUUAUUGUGAUUACAGAAAAAUAGCUCAUGGGCUUUAAAUGAGAUAUAUUUCCAGCUUUAUAUGGACCAAAUCUAUGUAACCUAUAAUAAAAGAUAUGCAAGUAUCAGGAAAAAAUGGAUGAGACCGAGCUAGAUUCCUUGACAUAUUGUACAGACUGAAAAAUUCAUAGUUAAAGCUGCCAUUGAACACCAGCUUUGCAGCACAAUCUAAUGUCUGGUUCUAUUAACAGAAGGUGAUGUUACAUAAAGUAGGGGAAAUAUUCAUUCACCUAUUGUGAACUAAUUACACUGCAAGUUACUGAAACACUGAGAAUUUCCUCCCAUGUUUAUUAUUUUUUUGCCUCUACUGAUAAAUCUGUUUGGGAUUUACUUUCUGUGUGUGUAGGAUCUAGCCAAUUUGCAGAUCUCCUCAUGCUUUAUAUAUUUUAUAAACAAAAAAAGUAAAUAUAUAUUCUAAUUGUUAUAGGUAUCAUCCUAUUCUGCCUCAACUAACCCUCACCUUCAAACUGGUGCACAAUAGCAAGUACUAUGUCAGUAGGAAAGAGGAAUUCUUGCGGAGUUUGCAGCUUAGUAGAUCUUACAUUGUGGGCUUUGCCAAACACGUGAGUUUGCAAACUUCCUCCUUUUAAAACUUUUUUUUCUUCCAAAGGAACGUGAUUUUCUUGUUAAAGGAGCUCUGUGCAAUGCAUUCAAAUCUAUCUGCCCUAAGUAGCCCACACCCCACCUGUUGUAUAAAUAUUUUUUAGACGUUCUCUCCUCUGCUCCUAGUUUUCCCACCUCAUGAGUUUCUCUGUAUUUGUUUUUCCUACUCUGCACCCUUCUUGCUUCAUCUUCCUCCCUAAU